UGCAGAGGGUGCGAGCGUUAAUCGGAAUUACUGGGCGUAAAGCGCGCGUAGGCGGCUUUGCAAGUCGGGUGUGAAAUCCCCAGGCUUAACCUGGGAACUGCAUUCGAGACUGCAUUGCUAGAGUAUGGGAGAGGGAAGUGGAAUUUCCGGUGUAGCGGUGAAAUGCGUAGAUAUCGGAAGGAACAUCAGUGGCGAAAGCGGCUUCCUGGACCAGAACUGACGAUCAGGCACGAAAGCGUGGGGAGCAAACAGG
rnacentral:rRNA from 1 species